rnacentral:lncRNA from 1 species
UGCCGAUCUUGCCCUGAUAAGUUGAUUUGUAAUGGUUGCUUUAUUUGACCACUGCAGAGUUCAAUAUUAUAGUGUGCGUGUGUCUCAGUAUCCUUACAAAUAUGCAUACUGUAUGACAGAUACAGGUAAAAAUAAUCUUCUCUCUAACACUUUAAAUGUUAGGGGUGGACCUCAUCGGACCCUUCACGAAAUCCAGGAAUAGUAAAGGAAGAGUACGUGCUUAACUACCCUUCUGUAACCCAUUAAAAAGGGUGCUUGCAACCAAAAAUAGAUUUUCGUUUUGUAGAAUACCCAUCAAGGACGAGACUGGCGAGGCCACCUCCAAGGUGAUGGUGGACAUCUUCAACACCCACGGGUCUCCGGAGGUCAUCUUGAGUGACCGAGGUCAUGAGCGUUGGAACAAGGUUUGGUGUAUGGACCAACCAGACCCUUAAGACUGCCAUGGGAAAGCCCCUUGAUUGGUACCAGGAAGGGUGGGAGAACAACCUGAAGGUAAUUCUCUUUGCACACAACAGCAGCAUCCAGGCCGCGUACAGACGGGAGUCGCAGCUGUUGACUGAGGUAAACAAUGCAAUUGUAUAUACAAUUAUUACAUAUACUGUAGUAUAAAAAAAAUUGUGAUCGACUUAGUGUUUGUCUAUUGCUAUUUUUGCAUAACAUACUUUCAGAUCACUGAAACUCCACCUGAUGUGGUGGAAGUUGUCAAACCAGAUCAGAACGCCAUAGAGGACUACCUUCAGGCACAGACUGAAGGAUGUGGAGGUUUUUGACUAGAGCUGGAAAAUGGAUCAGAACGUUUGAAGAGCAAACCAUGGGGAAACUACUGGCUGUGGGGGAUCUGAAGGCACUGCUGGCGAGAGUAGCAGGAGCGGCAAAAUUGGAGGAUGUACUGGAUGCCAGUGGCCUGAGAGUGGCAAUAGGGGAUCCAAUGAGGGAUGGAGUGGACUUUGAUACAUACUGUCCAGGAGUCUGGAAAGCCCUAAGAGACGAGUACUCUGCACGGAUGGACACAAAGUCACUAAAAGGAGAGCUACUGGGGGUGACAGAGAAUCUGGCUGUGUACUUACACAGACAGCUGAAACGAUGGAGGCAGGAAACAGAACAGAAUCCAGAGGGAGACCCACUGAUGACAACUCUGUUCCGAAACUCAGUGAUAGAAGCCAUGCCCCAGCCAGUGAGAAGCAAGCUGGAGGAUGUAGUGGGACUGACUUCAAAAUCACACAAAAGAAUUCUGUGACCAUGUCAUUCAUGCAGUGGAAAAACACAGAAAGGAUUAACAGAAACUCACAGAACAAGAAAAAAACAUUCAGAGAAAAAUAGCUCAGCUUCAGCUGGAAGAAUUGACCUACAAAGGAAAAAAGAAAAUCUAGGCUCCAGUGACAAUACCUGUGCCGGAAGUAGGGACAAUGGCUGCAGUCUCCCCAGGAGGGCCGCAACUGCCUCCCGUCCAGCAAGCCCAAGUGCAGCCCACACCACCAGUAUGCACAACAACCCCAACAAUUUAAUAAUGACAAAUGGGCAACAUAGACAUCCACAGAACAAUCAGAGAAAAGGAUUUAGCAGGCCACAGGGGCCACCUGGGACCUGUUGGGGAUGUUACCAGCUAGGACACUUCAAAAUAAAAGGUAUAAUGUUGGUAAACAAAGGGUUCAAAGCAAAAGAAUUGGGACUCAUGGUGAAGAAAGCCAAGAAUUGUAAAUGGAAUAAAACAGACAAUCCAUUGAUUUUCCACUCUAAAGAUAAAGCCUUUAUAAAGAUACUGACCACAAUGGGGAUCCAAGGGUAGUAGAGGUUACAGCUAAUCAACAAAUACAAUUAGGAGAUAAUAUUGAAUCAAUAAGUGAACAGAGACACGAAAUGGAAAAAAAUUUACCUGAAGGGGUAUGGUCGCAACAUGACACAGACGUAGGAUUGGUUAACCUCUCUGGGAUCGUUCGGGACGCAAGCGUCCCACCUCGCCAACAGCCAGUGAAAUUGCAGGGCGCCAAAUUCAAACAACAGAAAUCUCAUAAUUAAAAUCCCUCAAACAUACAAGUAUUAUACACCAUUUUAAAGAUACAUUUCUUGUUAAUCCAGCCACAGUGUCCGAUUUCAAAAAGGCUUCACGGUGAAAGCACACCAUGUGAUUAUGUUAGGUCAGCGCCUAGCCACAGAAAACCAUACAGCCAUUUUCCAAAGAAGGAGAGGUGUCACAAAAGUCAGAAAUAGCAUUAAAAUUAAUCACUAACCUUUGAUGAUCUUCAUCUGAUAGCACUCCCAGGUCUCUAUGUUAGACAAUAAAUGUUUGUUUUGUUCGAUAAAGUUCAUCUUUAUGUCCAAAUACCUCCUUUUUGUUCGCGCG